rnacentral:rRNA from 1 species
UACAGAGGUCUCAAGCGUUGUUCGGAUUCAUUGGGCGUAAAGGGUGCGUAGGCGGGCGCGGUGAGUCGGAUGUGAAAUCUCGGAGCUUAACUCCGAAACUGCAUUCGAUACUGCCGUGCUUGAGGACUGGAGAGGAGACUGGAAUUUACGGUGUAGCUGGUGAAAUGCGUAGAUAUCGUAAGGAAGACCAGUGGCGAAGGCGGGUCUCUGGACAGUUCCUGACGCUGAGGCACGAAGGCCAGGGGAGCAAACGGG